rnacentral:rRNA from 1 species
GUCAAGUCAUCAUGGCCCUUAUGGCCAGGGCUACACACGUGCUACAAUGGCCGGUACAAAGGGUCGCCAACCCGCGAGGGGGAGCCAAUCCCAUAAAGCCGGUCGUAGUCCGGAUCGUAGUCUGCAACUCGACUUCAUGAAGCCGGAGUCGCUAGUAAUCCCGGAUCAGCAACGCCGGGGUGAAUACGUUCCCGGGCCUU